ACUGUCCUCUCUCUCUCUCUCUCUCUCUCUCUCCCUCCUUCUUCUAUAUAUGAUCUAAUUCUAUACAAAAAUACCACAUCUAAUCUUCAUUUUACCCAUUUGAUCUUUUCACUUUCACCUGUCACUUCCCAAAUUCCUUUUAUGAAUGCUUGAACCACACUGCACUCACUAGCUUUGGCUGAACUUGAGAGUGCCCUCACAAGGUCAAAGUCAAAGAAUCAAGAAGGUAACAUACGAAUCAAUUAUAGAUAUUUCCAGUAUGAAUCCUAAUGGUAGAGUGAAGGAAGAGUUUCUUGGAGAAACUUCAAGCUUUUGUUGUAGUGGUUAUGAACAGCAAGCAGUGGUUGUUCCUCAACCAAUUGAUGGGCUUCAUGAAACUGGUCCUCCACCAUUCCUCACAAAAACAUAUGACAUCGUUGAUGACCCUUCAACGAAUCAUAUAAUUUCGUGGAGCUCAGGGAACAAUAGUUUUGUUGUGUGGGAUCCUCAGGCCUUCUCCAUAACCCUACUUCCCAGAUUCUUCAAGCACAACAAUUUCUCCAGUUUUGUCCGGCAACUCAACACUUAUGGGUUUAAAAAGGUGGAUCCAGAUAAGUGGGAGUUUGCUAAUGAGAUGUUUCUUAGAGGACAAAGAAUUCUAUUGAAGAACAUUAGAAGGAGAAAAGCAAAUCAAUCUCAGGCAAUGAUGCAGCAAGGUAUAGAGGCUUGUGUUGAGGUGGGGCAGUUUGGAUUAGAUGGAGAAGUUGAUCAGUUGAGGCGUGACAGGCAAGUUCUCAUGGUGGAGUUGGUGAAACUUAGACAACAGCAACAGAAUACCAGAGCUCACCUUAAAGAAAUGGAAGGCAGGCUCAAAAGGACCGAGCAGAAACAACAACAGAUGAUGAAUUUCUUGGCAAGAGCAAUGCAGAAUCCCAACUUUGUACAACAGUUGGUUCAGCAAAAGGAGUGGAGAAAGGAACUUGAGGAAGCCUUUUCCAAGAAGAGGAGGAGACCUAUUGAUCAAGGGCCUAGUAAUGUUGUUGAAGUAGAUGCAUUAGGUUGUGCUGAAGAAUGCUCAACUUUUGUUAAACUUGAACACCAGGAAAACAAUGAUGACAAGUUAUUGGAGUUUGAGGUGUCUGAGAUGGACCUUGCUUUGAAUAUGGAGGGACCAAGUGGAAGCCAGAAGAACAUGGAGGAAGAUUUAGAUCACAUUCAAACUGAAAUUAGAGAUGGUAGAGAUAUUGAUGAUGUGUUUUGGCAAGAUUUGCUUAAUGAGGGUAUUGUAGAUCAAGAUGCACUAGGUGUUGAAGAUGUAGAUGUAUUGGCUGAGCAACUUGGUUAUUUGGCCUCUACUCCUAAAUAGGAGGCUGUCCAAAGCUGCAUUUCCUAAUUCUUCACGCUUUUUUCAUUGAAUUGGCUGUGUGCUGGAUCACUGCUAUACUUUCUGACCAUUUUGGGGUUGCUGAUUGAUACAUACUCAAGAUGCUAAUUAAACCCAACCUUUUGUGUAAGAGUUUCUUGGCCCAAGUUUAAAGCACAUGGUUAUCAAGAAAUGGACACCUUUUGAUGCCAUAUGAUCAGUUAGGGUGCUACAAGUCUGGUGGUUAUUCUCAUGGCUUCUAGAUUAUUCCAUUUCAAAGUUAACUUUAUAUCCUAAUUUCAAGUUAAUAUCUCAUGAUCUCCGUGAAAAUUCUUGCUUCAAUGAGCUGGUUGAUGCUAAGUCAUAAGGGAAACCUGACUCAUGCGCAGACGUUGAAGAUGGGAUCGGCUAACUGCACCAUGGGCGAGGGACACAUCCGGGAUGAUGCCACUAUUGCUUGCUCUCUCAGAAUUUUAAUGGUAAUAAUUAACAGUGACAUAUGCUUCUGAAAUUUUUUUGGGGGUGAAAUUAAUACAUAUGCAAAUUUUAUUUGCAUUUUAUAUUCAUGAUAGGGGGUGCACUAAUGUAUUUGUCCUCCAGAUAUGAUUUUGAGUUUGAAAAAUAAUUUUAACAAUC